GCAGGGUCUCACUCUGUCACCCAGGCUGGAGUACAGUGGCAUGAUUAUAGCUCACUGCAACCUCAGACUCCUGGAUUCAAGUGGUCUUCCUGCGUCAGACUCCUGAGCAGCUAGGACUACAGGUUAAGAUGCAAGACUGGCUAGAAGGAUAAGCAGUGGGAACAACGGCACAGGAGAUGUCCUUAUGGGUCCCCAACACUUUCUCUUUUGCCCUUUGGCAGGUGCUAGUGACAGACAUGGGGCUUCACCAUGUUGCCCAGGGCUGUUCUCGACCUCCUGGAUUCAAGCAAUCCUUCCACCUCGGCCUCCCAAAGUGCUGGGAUUACAGGCAUGAGCCACCUCGCCACUGGCUGGACUCCUCCGAUUGACUUCUAUUCACCAGAAUGUUGAUGGCUCUGGUUCUCACCCUGUUGUUGUUUGCAUGGGAAUAUUCCCUAGAAAAGAGAUAAGGCCUCUCUCCUGCCUUUCUUCCACCCAGAUUAAGACUGUGAGAUGAAGACAGAAACAGCAUCCGCUGAGGCACCUUCUCUUGUGGGAAUGUAAGGAGUGAGGGAGGAAAAUGCUUCUUGACAUCUACCUUGUAGAUCUGAAGGAAAUUACUCCAGAUUAUCUGGGUGGCCCCAGUGUAAUCAGGAGAGAGCCCUGCCUCUUAGUUGACACCUCGAUUUUGGACUUCCAGCCUCCAGAACUGUGAGAGAAUAAUACAUUUCCGUAGUUUUAAGCUAUUUGGACUCUGAUACUUUGUUACAGCAACCCUGGGAAACUAAUAUAAUCAGCCAUCUCCUUAAAUGCCAAGCAACAAGUGCCUUUAUUGAGAGACACCCUGUAGUCUCAGCUACUAGGGAGGCUGAAGUGGGAGGACUGCUUGAGCCCAAGAGUUUGAGGCUGCAGCGAGCUAUGCUUGCACCACUGUACUCCAGCCUGGGUGACAGAACGAGACCUUAUCUCUGUCUUAAAAAAAAAACUAUCUUGUUUUGUAAAAAUUAAGUCUCCAUAAGAAGCGAAUAUACUAUUGAUAACUCUUACAUAAUAUUGCUCUGGAACAUGACAUUUUCCUAUUAAAACCAUUUGUGACUAAUAGCACUACAGAGUUUCUAUCCUCUUUUCUUGAAUGCAUGUCAUGUUGUUUGUGGUUAAGCUUUUUUAUAUAAAGGCAUUGAUUUCAAAAAAUCAUGUAAUAUGGUGGUUGGAGAAUUACUAUAAUUUUUAUUUUGUAGGCCCCUACCCAAGACCCAAGCAGCAUGUUCAGAUAUUGUUUGGGUAAGAAAAAGAGACACUUAGAAAACCCCUCAACCUCAAAAUUAAUGCUUUGAUUGGAACAG
rnacentral:lncRNA from 1 species